rnacentral:rRNA from 1 species
GACGAACGCUGGCGGCGUGCUUAACACAUGCAAGUCGAACGGAAAGGCCCUGCUUUUGUGGGGUGCUCGAGUGGCGAACGGGUGAGUAACACGUGAGUAACCUGCCCUUGACUUUGGGAUAACUUCAGGAAACUGGGGCUAAUACCGGAUAGGAGCUCCUGCUGCAUGGCGGGGGUUGGAAAUUUUCGGCGGUUGGGGAUGGACUCGCGGCUUCUCAGCUUGUUGGUGGGGUAGUGGCUUACCAAGGCUUUGACGGGUAGCCGGCCUGCGAGGGUGACCGGGCACAUUGGGACUGAGAUACGGCCCAGACUGCUACGGGAGGCAGCAGUGGGGAAUAGUGCACAAUGGGCGGAGGCCUGAUGCAGCAACGCCGCGUGCGGGAUGACGGCCUUCAGGGUGUAAACCGCUUUCGCCUGUGACGAAGCGGGAGUGACGGUAAUGGGUAAAGAAGCACCGGCUAACUACGUG